rnacentral:rRNA from 1 species
AGCAGCCGCGGUAAUUCCAGCUCCAAUAGCGUAUAUUAAAGUUGUUGCAGUUAAAAAGCUCGUAGUUGAAUUUCGGGGUCAGCAGGUUGGUCGUGCCACUGGUAUGAACUGGUCUAGCUGAUUCCUCCCUCUUGAAGAGCCGUGAUGCCAUUAAUUUGGUGUUGCGGGGAAACAAGACUGUUACUUUGAAAAAAUUAGAGUGUUUAAAGCAAGCUA